UACGGAGGGGGCUAGCGUUGUUCGGAAUUACUGGGCGUAAAGCGCGCGUAGGCGGACCUGCAAGCCGGGGGUGAAAGCCCGAGGCUCAACCUCGGAACUGCCUUCGAUACUGCGGGUCUCGAGUCCGGGAGAGGUGAGUGGAAUUCCUAGUGUAGAGGUGAAAUUCGUAGAUAUUAGGAAGAACACCAGUGGCGGAAGGCGGCUCACUGGCCCGGUACUGACGCUGAGGCGCGAAAGCGUGGGGAGCAAACAGG
rnacentral:rRNA from 1 species